rnacentral:rRNA from 1 species
GGAGGCAGCAGUGAGGAAUAUUGGUCAAUGGGCGAGAGCCUGAACCAGCCAAGUAGCGUGAAGGAUGACUGCCUAUGGGUUGUAAACUUCUUUUAUAAAGGAAUAAGUCGGGUAUGGAUACCCGUUUGCAUGUACUUUAUGAAUAAGGAUCGGCUAACUCCGUGCCAGCAGCCGCGGUAAUACGGAGGAUCCGAGCGUUAUCCGGAUUUAUUGGGUUUAAAGGGAGCGUAGAUGGAUGUUUAAGUCAGUUGUGAAAGUUUGCGGCUCAACCGUAAAAUUGCAGUUGAUACUGGAUAUCUUGAGUGCAGUUGA